GCGCUAUUAGCAUAAAGGUAAUGUAUCGGUUUGUGACGCCGGGGAAAUGGGAUCAGUACCCAUAUAGCGCCCCA
rnacentral:tRNA from 1 species